GAGCUGGGGAAAACCAAGUACUAUUAUUCUGUUAAAGGAACAUAGGCAUUGUGGUGUAUUCAAAAAUAAGGGCCAUGCUCAGCUAUCAUCAGAGAUGUUCCUGCAACAGUGCAAGAAAUAAAUACAGAGUCCCACAGCCAGGUAUUGUGUAGAGAGUGAUAUGCAUAGAGUUUGCAAGGAUCUGCACCUGAAAGGGGUCCCAUUGUUGAGAGAAGUAGACACAUGCCUCCAGCCUUAAACAAGAAGCUAUCACCAAUGACCACUUAAAAAUGAAGAUUUUUUUACCACCUGUAGUCUCAAUAAGGAUAAAAACCCCUCUUAAAGACAGCCCCUAUGCCUAGUAAUAGAGAUGGCCAACACAAAAUGAACUCAAUGACAUCUUUGGAUAUUAUUUGCAUCAGGUUUUUCCAAGUCAAUUUUUUAACCUUUUAGGCACUUUGAAUAUAUAUUAUUUCCAAGUCAUUUUUAUGUUAUUCUUGUGGCUACAAAGGUAUACAACUCUGCAUUUAUAUGAUUUUCUUUGGAUCAUUUUCUAUGUUUUUUUUCCUGUUUCCAUUGGUUUGAUAUUUUUCUUUAUCUUAUUUUAUUUUAUAUAUAUAUUUUAAGAUUCUUGUUUGUUUUCUUACAAGAAACAGGCAGGGGAUGAAUCUUUUUUUUUUGUUUUUUUUGUUUUUUUUUUUUUGUUUUUUGAGAUAGGGUUUCUCUGUAUAGCCCUGGCUACCCUGGAACUCACUUUGUAGACCAGGCUGCCCUGGAACUCAGAAAUCUGCCUGCCUCUGCUUCCUGAGUGCUGGGAUUAAAGGUGUGUGCCAUCACACACGGCUGGGAUGAAUCUUAAUGGAAGUUGUAUAAGGGGAAACCAUACUCAAAAUUGGUUUUAUUUUAAAAAUAUCUAUUUUAAAUCUAAGAAAAAUAGGACAGAAUUUCUAAUUCUUCGUGAAAUUGGCUUGAACAUAUUUCUGCUAUUUUAAAUAUAUUCUCAGCUACUCUGAUUACAAAAUUAUUAUAUCAUUCAACCGUGAUGUUUUUGAAAAGCUUUGGGUCUACCGUAUCAAAUAUUUAGCUAACAUUUAAUUUCCUUAUAAAAUAAGAACCUCUGUAUCUUUAGUAUUCAAAUUUGUUUUUGUCUUAAACAUAAAAUUUAUUUUAAAAUAACUUUAUACUUACUAUCAGUAAUUUUAUUUUUAUGCCAUUUACAUAUUUUAAAACUUGCUACAGUAUAAAAUUUUCUUGUGUAUACAGGAUUGUAAAUAGAACUGCUUUUAAUUUAAAAAAAAAAAAGAAUGUCACUUAAGAUUGAAUCCUGAUAUACAAAAGAAAAUUUGAACAUCUUAGAAAUUAGCAUUAAUGUCAAUCAGAUUGGAAACUCAAAAUUUAAUGGCGAAUAGUUCCUAAACUGACUGAAAAUACCUUCAAACCAUAUCCAGAAAAGUGUCCUUUAACAGUAAGCAUGAAACGAAGACUAGAAAAAAUAAAGUCCUUACAAUGUAUUAAAAUCAUGCAGCUAACAAUCUUAUUUACUUUAAAGAUCUAUGAAUAACAACAACAACAACAAAAAUGUCACAAUGACCUGAAAUGUUCAGUAAUAGCAUGCAUGCCUAUAUGGUAACCAACAGCGUUCUUACUGGACUUAUUACCCACACUGUGGAGAUGAGGGAGAAUCAUGCCUGGAAUCAGAAACCUGUGAGAGUGUCCAACAAUACUGAAAUCAAGGAUAAGAAUGCACUAUGGUCAUUUAUUAAACCAACAAAAUCUCUAACUAAAUUCUAAAUGUUUGUCAUUAUGCUGUACAUAGAUAAGAGAAGUCCUCAUUACUCAUCAAGAAAUUUUUCUGUGCAGCAAAUGAAGAUAUUUAAACAACCAAUUGAAAUUUAGAGUUGUGAGGCCAAUUUCCCAAUGUGUAUAUAUCCAUAACUCCUAUACUUAAGGCUUAGGAAGCAUUGGCAAAAGGACACAGAAACCUGGAGUUUGCUGUAAGACUAUGAUUUCCAGAAAUGUGAGAAUUUGCAGCUAUGGAGUCUCACCAAGGCUUCCAAAAUGUUGCCUGAACUGUGAUAAAGGCAAUAGACAUACUAACAUCAAGCAGCAAAAUCUCAUGACCCCUCAAAUCUAGACAAAGAAAUACAGAUACCUAAAGAAUACCGAGAACAGGAGAAAUAGUCUACCUCAAAGAAAAGCAGAUUAAUUGGUGAUCCAAUAACGACAGUUCAGGUCUGAAAACAUACAAGAAACAGUACUCAGAACCAGGCUCUAUUUAUGUAAUUAGGAGUGUUCACAUGCAUGCAUGUGCAUGUGUGUGUGUGUGUGUGUGUGUGUGUGUGUGUGUGUGUAGUGUAUUUUUUGUAUAUGUAUGUAUAUGCAUAUUUGUAGAUGCAUGUGUUUGUAUGUGUGUAUGUGCUAGAUACAGAUACCUAUGUCACAGCAAUUAAAGAAAGUCAUGAAUUUGAAAAGGGGGGGAGAUAUAAAUGAAAGGGAAUGAGAAAGUGAUGUAAUUAUAUUAUAAUUUUGAACUGAAUAAUCUUCUAAUUUCAAACCCGUCCAUAUAUAUGUAAGUUCAAAUUCUAGCUUUUUCAAUUUAAAUCUACCUCAAUGCCAGCUGUCUCUGUCUUUGUCUUUGUUUCCUUAUCC
rnacentral:lncRNA from 1 species